UACGUAGGCAGCGAGCGUUGUUCGGAGUUACUGGGCGUAAAGGGUGUGUAGGCGGUUGUUUAAGUUUGGUGUGAAAUCUCCCGGCUCAACUGGGAGGGUGCGCCGAAUACUGAAUGACUUCGAGUGCGGGAGAGGUGAGUGGAAUUCCUGGUGUAGCGGUGAAAUGCGUAGAUAUCAGGAGGAACACCGGUGGUGUAGACGGCUCACUGGACCGCAACUGACGCUGAGACACGAAAGCGUGGGUAGCAAACAGG
rnacentral:rRNA from 1 species